CAUAUGCAUCGAUACAUCAGUGCUAUUUCCUAGCAAUUGCUGGGAGCCAAAGUGCAAAUUCCCAUCUGAGAGAAGAAAGAGAAAUGUAGGCUGUAAGUGGUGUUGGCAGGCAAUAGAUCCACUACAAAGACAAAACAUCCAGCCAGACGGACGAACUGGAAACAUUCUCAAGUUAGAUUCUUUUUUAUUCUUGGGGUCCAAGAUAGUUCCGUUGUCUGAAGAAACAAUCUCUCUUCAGUUUUACUCAGAAGAUCAAUUUCUUUUUUGGAAUCAAAGGAAGUAUUUGCUUUCUUUCAUGAAAAUGAAAUUCCCAGACUAUUAGAAUUUAGUUAAAGAUAAAUCUUUGAAGAAAUAGAAUCAAUAAAGUACUAAACUUGAUAUCUUUUUAUAGGUAAACGGUUUAAAUUCGCUUGGUUUUGCUUCGAAAGUAUGGUUUUAUGUACAGAAAAGAACAACAACAAUAAUAAAAAAACACAAGAAAAGUGGGGUGAAGUUGCCGGAGUCACGUUCUGGAGCAUACACGUGACCCGAGAGCUGCAGAGGAGUGGCUGACACAGCCUAAUGACCAAGUCGUCAGGGUUGUGGGUAAGAAAAUUAAGGGGGUCACUCCGAGAGCGCUCCUACCCUCCCAGACCUCGUGCCCAUUGCCCUCCGACCUUUCAGCCAUUUUUAAAGUAUCUGAAAAGAAAACAGGAGCUGGACAUCCGGACAUACAUCAUAUUGUCGUCGCGCGGUAGCCAAUGUAGAUGGAAUUCACCAUUCACCUUCUAGCUCCUCCGAACGUAUGACAGUUUUGUCGCAAGGCUGUAAAGAAAUCCUCUUCAACCCCCUGCAGAGUACUGUAGAGAACUCCUACCUUCUAGAAAAUCCUCUCUUUGUGCUAGGUAACCAUGACGACGGUCCUAUACCCAAUUUAAUAUAAAAAUACAGUGUGGUGAAAGAAGAAAUGGAUUGAUGCACUAUAAAGUAUAUACCAAGGAUUAUUCCAUGGCUAAUACGCUUCUUCAUUUUUGUCUUUCUUUUUUCUAAAAGCACCGGUUCAAUAGGUGUUUGUGAAUAUUUCAUUUUAACUUUAGAAAAUAAAA